GGCGGCAGCUUACCAUGCAAGUCGAGCGGUAACAGGGGGUGCUUGCACCCCGCUGACGAGCGGCGGACGGGUGAGUAAUGCAUAGGAAUCUGCCCAGUAGUGGGGGAUAGCCCGGGGAAACCCGGAUUAAUACCGCAUACGCCCUUUGGGGGAAAGCAGGGGAUCUUCGGACCUUGCGCUAUUGGAUGAGCCUAUGUCGGAUUAGCUAGUUGGUGGGGUAAAGGCCUACCAAGGCGACGAUCCGUAGCUGGUCUGAGAGGAUGAUCAGCCACAUCGGGACUGAGACACGGCCCGAACUCCUACGGGAGGCAGCAGUGGGGAAUAUUGGACAAUGGGGGCAACCCUGAUCCAGCCAUGCCGCGUGUGUGAAGAAGGCUUUCGGGUUGUAAAGCACUUUCAGUGAGGAGGAAAACCUUCUGGUUAAUACCCAUGAGGCUUGACGUUACUCACAGAAGAAGCACCGGCUAACUCCGUGCCAGCAGCCGCGGUAAUACGGAGGGUGCAAGCGUUAAUCGGAAUUACUGGGCGUAAAGCGCGCGUAGGUGGUUUGAUAAGCGAGAUGUGAAAGCCCCGGGCUUAACCUGGGAACGGCAUUUCGAACUGUC
rnacentral:rRNA from 1 species